rnacentral:rRNA from 1 species
GACGAACGCUGGCGGCGCGCCUAAUACAUGCAAGUCGAACGAGUACGCACUUCGGUGCAAUGUACGAGUGGCGAACGGGUGAGUAACACGUGAGAAACCUGCCUCGGAGACCGGGACAACCAUUGGAAACGAUGGCUAAUACCGGAUGUCCUUUUACGGUCGCAUGACUGUUUGAGGAAAUGAUCCGUCGCUCCGGGAGGGUCUCGCGGCCUAUCAGCUUGUUGGUGAGGUAAUGGCUCACCAAGG